GUGCACGUGCAAGUAUCUCUACCCGGUCAUGGUCUUUGUUGUCAACAAAGUCGAAUUUCACACUGGUCAAACAGUUCUGGUCACCUUGGUUGUAACCUGCGUCAUACAUGGAGUAUUUAUUAGCAUGAUGUUCCUGAAAAUAGGAGAACCUUCUGGUGAUAUACCAACACCAUACCGAGUCCAUUAGUGCCACCAAAGCGGCAAGAAGACCUGCAUGACUACGGGAUUUAUCCGACAUAAAACAGACACGUGAUAUAACUGAAGUCUCUCUCAGUGUACCGG